UACGUAGGGGGCGAGCGUUGUCCGGAUUCAUUGGGCGUAAAGCGCUUUAAGGCGGUUCGCUAAGUCGGGUGUGGAACCUCCAGGCUCAACCUGGAGACGCCACUCGAUACUGGCGUGACUAGAGUUCGGUAGGGGAUCACGGAAUUCCUGGUGUAGCGGUGAAUGACGCAGAUAUCAGGAGGAACACCGGUGGCGAAGGCGGUGGUCUGGGCCGACACUGACGCUGUAGAGCGAAAGCGUGGGGAGCGAACAGG
rnacentral:rRNA from 1 species